rnacentral:lncRNA from 1 species
CAGUGUGUCAACGACAGUGCGAGUGCAUCAAUAGCAGCCCAUCUUUUUCCCAGGUAAAUUAUGUUCUCUUUGAUUUACAAUCGAUUUACAGUAGAAUUGACUUACAAUAAAUUAACUUGUCUUCAUUCAAUCGAUUUACAGUAGAUUUUGUAUUGAUGUCGGUCGAUUGAUUUACAAUAAACCAGUUCCUAACUCGCUGUUCAACAGCCUGACGUAAUGCCCGUCCAUCUUCUUCCCCUGUUAAGUUCUCUUUUUCACCUGUUAAAUCAGUCGUUUGCAAUCAAUUUACAGUAGAUUUUGGAUUGAUUCCUGUCGAUUGAUUUACAAUAAAUUCUGUGUACAUUAAUCUGGCAAAAGUCAUGUUAUUAUUUGGAUGUAGAAAAUCCUGAUUUAGGAAAUUUGUUUCGGCCGCUUAUCUCUAAUAUAUAAAUUUCUCAUUUGUUAUAAACAAUUUUUUGGGAAAGAAACUCAUAUAAUUGCCGAGGUUAAUAUUCUUGUACAUGGGAUUCGUGUUCUGUAUGAAACAAUGUAUGUAGCAUGGACAGAGACUUUCAGAUCCUUUAAUAAGCAUGGAUGCCCUUUGUUACUUUAAGAAUGACUUUCAAAUGGUGUAAAACAGGCCCUCGACUAUUCAUAUAUUAGAUUGGACUUUGUUAAGUGCUAAGAUAAAGAAUAUAAAUGUAUAGAGUACCGUUGAGAUAUCUUUCUGAUUGCAAAAUCUAUCUACAGCUAUUAUGGUGGAAGCUCUUGAAAUAUCUGAUGAUGUAUUUAAGAGUAAUUGGAGGACCAAAACUUUAUAAAGAAUAUCGUAGAAUAAUUCGAAUCAAUCACUAGAAGUAUUUACAUGCAUCUAAGCAGUAUACUGCAAUUUUAUACACAUGAGUGGACACAAGUGCAUAUACUGCACUCUUAAACUUUAAAGUUUAUCUCACAUGCUGUCAGAGAAUGUGUGUCAGAAUAUACAGCCAUACUGACUGCAAUGCCUGGACAUAAUGUUAGUGUUGUUCCUGAAAAGUUGGUUUUCAGAGACAAGUAUGAAAAGCAAAGCUACAAGCUGAGGAUAGAAUGUCCAAAACUAAUGAAUGAUUUUCUUGUUCAUGGUUAUUUAAGUUGGCCGGAAAAGGGAGGUAAAUAUGUGAGUAGGAGCCCAAUUGUUGCCACCAAUUCUAAUGUUUGAUCCUUUGUCAGGAUAGCACUGAUUACAGAAUAUUCCAUGUUGCGACCAAAACACUCACGCAAGUGUACGCGAUCGACAAGUAAUAUAGUAGUAAUUAAAGUAUCGUUCCCACGAGGAAUUGUGAUCAACUUAUCGACUGAUGUAGACUCAAACAAUUAUCAAUUCAAGCUAAAUUAUCACAAAAUAUAUAAAGAACCAAUUUACAAUUUACUUAGUAAUUAAACAAUAAUUCAAUACAAAAUUACUACACCAAUUUCACAAUAUAUUUAUAACAAUUUGGAUAAAUAUAUUCCCGGGUCAUGGACUUGCUAGAAAUUAUGCUACUAUUUUAGCUUAAAAUUGAUUUAUUGAAUUAUCCGGGUUAUUGAUUAUAGGGUUAAUAAUAUUUAUAAGAAUCUUUCGAGUUCUUAUGCAUCUAUUCAAAUUAAACUAGUACCUAUAUGUCUACGGCAGUAGGUAACUAGGAAGGUCGACAAGAUAAAGGUCUGAUAUUCUAUGUCUGUUUAAUUUUUCACCUUAAAGAUCUAGGCUGCUCACUUACUGUAUAUCACAAUUGAUUGAAUGUCUUCUACUUUACGUUCUUAUAGCUCAUAACAGUAUUAGCUAAUUGAGCUGUCAUGUUAGACGAUUGUGUGCUUUUAGCUUGCCACUUGAAAUCUUCCUUUCAUAUGACUUGCUGAUGGUCAAUUCUGGUGACAAUAAAAAUGCAGUUAUGGGUAAAUGCAUCUUUAUCUAAACUGAAGAAGCCAUUCCAAUCUUUUUUUAUCUUUAAGUAAUUAUAAAUCAUGAGAGGGAGAAAAAUUAGUCACAUAAUUGAAGCUAUUACAUGAAUGCAUUCCAUUUGUUGGAUAGAUACUUACCAAUGAUGAAGAGGGAGGCCUUCCAAACACCAGUUGAAUCCCUAAGAGGAACUCUUCCUUUAUGAUCGACAGAAGAAUCAUAAACCCAUUUUCCCCAUCUAUUUCUACUGAUUAACAUUUGAGGCUAAGGAAUAAGUGAAUUCCAUGAAGUAGAACUCAAAGUCCGGGACUAUGAAUUGGAUCAGUAUGGUGUUGUAAACAAUGCUAUUUAUGCAAGUUAUUGCCAACAUUGUAAGGUUUUCUGUUUCAAUCUGCACUCAAGUGAUUUACCCCUAGCAUAUUAAACUCGUGCUAUCAUUCAUCAAAUAAAGAUUAUACCUGUGCUUUUUCUUUAAUGAAAAAGGAAAAUUCUGAUCAGGGGAGAAAACCCUAUAGGUAACUGAUAUUAGUGGAAAUUAAUGGAAAAUGAUCUUUUAUAUCUGUUCUAUUUUACUUUUUGUGACCGUAUAGUUAGCUCAUCUGUUAGCCUUGAUUAUGGAAUUUGUUUUCUCUCUGAAUAACUUGAGAUUAUGUUAUCUAAAAUUUUGUGAUGACCCGGCCGGUCGUCUUUGGAAUUUAUGCCCCGUUCCCCCAUUAACUGCUUCCCCUAAGUUCGUUUCUGCUAUUUUGGUUUGUCGGGACGUUCGGUGUGAGAAUUCAGAGUGUUUUGGGACACUUAGUCCCGAAACGAGAGCGUGUUGGAAAGUGGUCCGUAAUCGGAACAGUGUGAAGACAACCUCGGAAUGUAAAUCUGAUGGUUCUGUUAGCUCCGUUAGGUGAUUUCGGGGUUGGAAGCGUGUUCGGGAUGUAUUUUGAAUGUCCGUAGCUCAUUUAGGCUAGAAAUGUCAAAAGUUAGAAUUUGGAGGUUUCCGGUUCGAUAGUGAAGUUUUGAUCCGAGGGUCAGAACGGGAUUACGGAAGUUGUUGUAGCACUGUCAUGUCAUUUGGGACGUGCGUGCAAAGUUUCAGGUCAAUUGGACGAGUGUUGAUGAGGUUUUGGAUAUAAAGCGUGUUUUGGAUGAACUUGAAUGUUCUUAGGCUUGAAUCUUUGAUUUAAUCGAGGUUUCGAUGUUUUUUUAGGUGUCUUAAGAAUUGGUACAAGUUUGGAUGAUAUUAUGAGUUAUGUCCGCGGGUUUGGUUGAGGUCCCGGGGGCCUCGGGAUGAUUUUGGGUGGUUAACGGAGGAAAAUUUGAAGUAUUGCAGCAGCUGAUAUUUCUCUCUUCUGGUAUUUCUCAUCGCAGAAGCGUUUCCAGGCUUUUUCCCAGGAACCGCAGAAGCGGUCCCUUUUCCGCAUAAGCGGCACCGCCAAAGCGGGAUUGGCACUGCAAAAGCGGACUCAGGUCCCUUAAGUGAAAACCGCAGGAGCGGCCCUUGUUUCGCAGAAGCGGUACCUUAUCCGCAAAAGCGGAAAUGACUAUUCAGAAAUAGUAAAAUCGAGGGUUAAGUUUCAAAAGUUGGAAAAUCAAUUGAGAGCUCGGGAGAAGGCGAUUUUGAGUGUGUUUUGAAGAGAAGAUCAUUGGGUAGGGUUGCUUUGACACCUUCUAGUUAUAUAUCAUCAUUAUAUAUUUAAUUACACCAUUAAAAUUCGAAUUGAGGACCAAAAAUUGGAUAAUUUGGGUAAAACUUCUUUGGCUAAACUAUUGAGUUUUAAAGGGGCAUUUGACCUCCGAUUUGGGAGAUUUUUAUAUGGUUAGACUCGUGAGAGUACGCGGUUUUUGAAAAUGUGAAAAUUAUUCGACUCCGAGACAUUGUCCUGAGGAGCGUUUUGGUCAUUUUACCUAUUUUCGCGCCUUAGCUUUAAUUUUAAUAGUGGAAUUGGUUACUUGCAAUGUUAUUUACAAUAUGUAAUUGGUUUGAAUAGAUUUGGGCCACUCGGAGUUGGAUACUUGUGGCGAGGGCAUCGUUUCUUAGUGAUUUUUGUACCGGUUCGAGGUAAGUGGCUUGUUUAACUUUGUGUGGGGGACCUCUCCCCUUAGGAUAUCUUGAUUGUUGUUUAAAUGCCUUGUGCGCGAGGUGACGAGCGUGCACUUGUGCUAAUUGUUGAAAAUUCACCUUACUUGACUUAUUUAGGCUGUGUUUCUUCACGUAUUUAACUAUUAAAAAUGCAAUUUCACUUGUUUUAGCUUAGGCAAAGCAUGUUAGUAACUUAUUUGCUCAAUUUGACUAAAUUGCAAUGUCUGUCUUUUCGUGAAGCAUGCUAGACUCUAGAUUCUACCUGUUGUCUGUUCUUAGCUUCUUUUGUUCAAUAUUGAAUUGUUGUGAUGUGUUUAUGAUUGGGUCUACGGGACGGCAUCCCUGGAGUUCCCUUGUACGUAUUAUGUUCUGAGAUUGGAAGUGCGGGAUACUAAGUGAUCUCCGGCACAGGAUUGAUUAAAUGGAGGAUACUAGGAGAUCCUCGGGAUACUUGGAGAUCCCUCGUGAUUAAAUGGAGGAUACUAGGAAAUCCUCGGGAUACUUGGAGAUCCCUUGUGUAUAUGAUGAGGAUACCAGGAGAUCCUCGGGAUACCAGGAGAUCCCCUAUGAUAAAUAGCCUGUAGUGAUUAUUCUUGUAUUCCUAGAUUGUAUUUGCAGCCUGUUUCCGUUCUACUUAUUAUUUUUGCUAGAUACUCGAGAUUUACUGUACUCCUACUAUCUAUUCAUUUCAUAUUUAUUUUUAUGUUUAUCUCAGUAGGACCUCGACCUUCCUCGUCACUACCCAACCGAGGUUAGGCUUGGCGCUUACUGAGUACCACUGUGGUGUACUCACGCCUUUUCUGCGCAUGUUUUUCAUGUGCAGAUCCAGGUACUUCUGAGCAGGCGUACCGCUAGUAGCUGUUAGGGAGCAUAUUGGAGACUUGAGGUAUACAUCUGCUACGUCCGCAGAUCCGCAAAGUCUCCUUCUCAUUAUAUCCAUAGAUAUUAGCUGUCAUUUCGAUCCCUUUUGUGUUAGACUACUCUGGUGACUAGAGCAGUGUAUCAUUUCUUAUGGCAUGUGUUGCCCGUGGGUUUCCGGGUCUUGGUGGUUAUUCAGUAUUCUGUAUUAAAGUGUAUGUGCCAGGAGGCAAACCGAUACAUUUCCUUUAUGUUAUUCGGCAUUCUACUAUUGUUUUUCGUGAAAAGUGUUAAUUUCGCAAUGUGUUAGGCUUACCUAGUCGCGAAGACUAGGUACCGUUACGACCGGUUCACAAUUGGUGAACUAGGGUCGUGACAAGUUGGUAUCAGAGCUCUAGGUUCAUAGGAGUCAUGGAACACAUGUCGGUUUAUUAUAAUCUCACUGAUCGGUACGGAGACGUAUGUACUUAUCUACGGGAGGCUAUGUAACUGUUUAGGAAAAAUCUUCACUUCAUUGAAUUCUUUGUCGUGCUAUAUUUUUGACAUCGACUCUAAACUUAUGUCUUCUAUUCUCUCACAGAUGGUGAGGACACGCACGACCCAGGACGAUCAGGCACCCGCACCCCCUCCUGUAGCCGCUAGAGGUAGGGGCCGGGGCAGGGGUCGUGGACGUGCGCGGGGUGCAGCCAGAGCACCUGCGUGAGCCGCCACCGAGGUACCACCAGCGGAUCUAGCCAAGACUCAGGCACCUAACACGCCCACAGUCACCACUACUCCAGCUGUUCAGGAGGUAUUGGCAUAGUUUAUAAGCAUGUAUACUACGCUGUCACAGGCAGGGUUACUUCCCCUUCCUACAGCCACGUCCCAGGCUGGGGGAGGAGCCCAGACUCCCGCAACCCGCACUCCAGAGCAGAAGGUGCAUAUGGGACAAAUUCCAGAUAUUAUCCCUGUCCAGCCUGCGGUACCAGUUCAGCCCGAGUAUGGGGCACCUGCUUCUGAGGAUGAGCAGCGUAGACUGGAGAGGUUCAAGAAGUAUGACCCUCCUAUUUUCAGCGGACUAGCUACAGAUGAUGCUUUGGGGUUUCUGGAGGAUUGUCACCGCAUCUUUCGCACCAUGGGUAUUACUGCCUCGAGCGGGGUUUCUUUCGCAACUUUCUAGCUUCGGGGAGCCGCCUAUGACUGGUGGCGCACCUUUGAGUUAGACAGUCCGGACGAGGAUGCCUCCCUAACUUGGACUCAGUUUUCAGAUAUGUUUCAGAGGGAGUUUGUUCCCCACAACCUCCGAGAUGCAUGGUGUGCGGAGUUUGAGCAUUUGCGCCAGGGCCCUAUGACUGUCUCUGAGUAUGCCAUCCGUUAUACUAGGUUGGCCAGGCAUGCGCCGGCUUUGGUGGCUACUGUUCGUGAGAGGGUUCGCCAGUUUAUUGAGGGUCUUAUUCCUUCCAUCAGGUUUGGCAUGGCUCGAGAGUUGGAGAUGGAUAUACCCUAUCAGCAGGUAGUGAGCAUAGCCAGGAGGAUAGAGAGUAUGCAUGCCAGAGAGCGAGAGGAGAGAGAGGCCAAGAGGUCUCGAGAGUCGGCUCAUUACUCUGGUACCCGCACAUCAACAUCAGGACGUCAUGGUAGGGGCUAUACGGGUCGCCCCGUUCACUCAGCUCUUCUUUCAUCCAGCAGUACUCCAGCUCCUCCCAGAUUUCAGGAGCCUUAUUAUGCACCUUCAAUUUCAAGUGUGGCUCCUACGCGGGGUACUUCCAAAGGUCAGUCUAAAAGGGGUGGGUCCAGUCAGUCAUAGCCACCACGCCCUCCCAUAGCUUGUUAUGAGUGCAGGGAUACCCGCCAUGUGGUGAGGGAUUGCCCUAGGCUUGGAAGAAGUGCACCUCCACAGCAUUCUUAGCAGCAGCAUACACAGUGGGAUUCUCAGGCCAUCGUUCCAGCUCUAGCUGCCACCCCACCUACCCAUCCAGCCAGGGGCGGAGAUCGGGGAGAUAAGGGUCACCCUCGAGGAAGGGGCCGGGCCAGAUUUUAUGCCAUUCCUGAUCGUGUUGAGGUUGUCGCCUCCGAUUCUAUUAUCACAAGUAUUAUAUUGGUUAGUCACAAAGAGGCAUCAGUUCUAUUCGAUUCAGGCUCUACUUAUUGUUACAUAUCAUCUUAUUUUGCUCCGCAUUUGGGUACAUCCCGAGAGACCUUGAGCUCUCCAGUUUAUGUUUCUACUCCCGUGGGAGAUUCCCUUGUUGUGGACCGCGUAUAUCUGUCAUGUUUGGUUAUUAUUCGUGGUUUUGAGACCAGGGCAGAUCUUCUAUUACUUGAUAUGGUUUAUUUCGAUAUUAUCUUGGGCAUGGACUGGUUGUCGCCCUAGUAUGCUAUUCUUGAUUGUCACGCUAAAACCGUGAUACUGGCUAUGCCAGGUAUUCCACAUAUUGAGUGGAGUGGUACUUUUGAUCACACUCCCAGUAGAGUUAUAUCCUUUCUUAAAGCUCAGCGUAUGGUUGAGAAGGGGUGCGCCGCGUAUUUAGCUUAUGUGAGAGAUGUCAGUGCUGAUACCUCUUCUGUUGACUCUGUCCCGGUAGUACGGAAUUUCCCAGAUGUGUUUACAGUUGAUCUUUUGGGCAUGCCGUCCGAUCGGGACAUUGAUUUUGGUAUUGAUUUUUUGUCGGGCACUUAGCCCAUAUCCAUUCCUCCUUACCGUAUGGCUCCUCCUGAGUUGAAGGAGUUGAAGGAUCAGUUACAAGAAUUGCUUGAUAAGGGUUUUAUUCGACCCAGUGUUUCACCGUGGGGUGCUCCUGUCUUGUUCAUAAAGAAAAUGGUGGUUCUAUGCGCAUGUGUAUCGAUUAUCGUCAGUUGAACAAGGUUACAGUGAAGAACCGAUAUCCUUUGCCUCGUAUCGAUGAUCUAUUUGACCAGCUUCAGGGCGCACAGGUGUUUUCUAAGAUUGAUUUGUGCUCAAGUUAUAACCAGCUAAAGAUUCAGGAGCCGGAUAUCCCGAAAACUGCUUUCAGGACUUGGUAUGGUCAUUACGAGUUCCUUGUCAUGUUAUUUGGGCUGACCAACGCCCCAGCAGCUUUUAUGCAUUUGAUGCACAGUGUAUUCAGGCUCUAUCUCGACUCAUUUGUCAUUGUUUUCAUAGAUGAUAUUCUUGUAUACUCCCGGAGUCGGGAAGAUCAUGAGUAGCACCUGAGGACAGUGCUUCAGACCCUGAGGGAAAAGACAUUAUAUGCAAAGUUCUCAAAGUGUGAGUUUUGGUUGAGUUCUGUGGCAUUCCUAGGCCACGUGGUAUCGAGUGAGGGCAUUCGGGUGGAUCCGAAGAAGGUGGAGGUCGUGCAGAGUUGGCCCAGGCCCUCCUCAGCUACAGAGAUCCGCAGUUUCCUUGGCUUGGCGGGGUAUUACCAUCGUUUUGUGGAGGGGUUCUCAUCGAUUGCAGCCCCUAUGACUAGAUUGGCCCAGAAGGGUGCUCCUUUUCAGUGGUCAGACGAGUGUGAGGCGAGCUUCCAAAAGCUCAAGAAGGCUUUGACUUCAGCCCCUAUUCUGAUUUUCCCUACUGGUUCGGGGUCCUAUACAGUUUAUUGUGAUGCUUCACGAGUUGGACUUGGAGCGGUGUUGAUGCAGGACGGUAAGGUGAUUGCCUACGCGUCCAGACAGUUGAAGGUACAUGAAAAUAACUAUCCUGUCCAUGACCUUGAGUUAGCUGCUAUUGUUCAUGCCUUGAAGAUCUGGCGUCAUUAUUUGUACGAUGUGCCUUGUGAGAUUUAUACGGAUCAUCGGAGUUUACAGCACUUGUUCAAGAAAAAGGAUCUGAACUUGCGCCAGAGGAGAUGGUUGGAGCUACUGAAGGAUUAUGAUAUCACUAUUCUUUAUCACCCGGGCAAGGCCAAUGUGGUAGCCGAUGCCUUGAGUCACCGGACGGAGCACCAGAGACCGGGAGGGUUACUCCAGCAGAUGGAGAUUCCGGAGUGGAAAUGGGAGAAGAUCACUAUGGAUUUUGUAACUGGUCUCCCUCUAAUGGCGAAGAAAUUUGAUUCUAUUUGGGUUGUUAUGGAUCGGCUGACCAAGUCCGCUCAUUUCAUUCCAGUGUGUACUUCUUACUCAGCGGAGCGGUUAGCGGGGAUUUAUAUCAGGGAGAUUGUCCGUCUACAUGGCAUUCCAGUUUCUAUCAUCUCAGACGGGGGUUCAGUGUUUACAUCACGGUUCUGGAGAGCCGUCCAGCACGAGUUAGGUACACGGGUGACUAUGAGUACAGCUUUUCACCCUCGGACGGAAGGACAGUCCGAGCAUACUAUUCAGAUUCUUGAGGAUAUGCUCCGUGCGUGUGUGAUUGAGUUUAGAGGGUCUUGGGAUCAGUUCUUGCCAUUGGCUGAGUUUGCGUACAACAACAGUUAUCAGUCCAGUAUUCAGAUGGCGUCGUAUGAGGCCUUAUAUGGCAGGAGAGGCAGAUCCCCGGUGGGUUGGUUCGAGCCGGGUGAGGCCAGGCUAUUGGGCACUGAUUUGGUCCAGGAUGCGGUCGAGAAGGUUAAGGUGAUUCAGGAUAGACUCCGUACGGCCCAGUCCAGACAAAAGAGUUACGCGGACCGAAAGGUUCGUGAUGUUUCAUUUAUGGUUGGUGAGUGGGUUUUGCUUCGGGUCUCACCUAUGAAAGGCGUCAUGAGGUUUGGAAAGAAAGGGAAGUUAAGCCCGAGGUUCAUUAGCCCAUUUGAUAUUUUGAAGCGUGUUGGGGAGGUUGAUUAUGAGCUUGCGUUACCUCCCAGUUUGGCCGAGGUUCAUCCGGUAUUUCAUGUCUCGAUGCUUCGGAGGUAUCACGGUGACCCGUCUCAUGUGUUAUAGUUCACUUCAGUCCAGUUGGACAAUGACUUGUCCUAUGUUGAGGAACCAGUGGAAAUAUUAGACAGGCAGGUCCGAAAGCUCAGGUCAAAGGAUAUAGCUUCAGUAAAGGUUCAGUGGCGGGGUCAGCCGGCCAAGGAGGCGACUUGGGAGACCGAGCGAGAUAUGCGCAGCCGAUACCCUCGUCUUUUUGCUACUUCAGGUAUGUUCUCUAUGCUCGUUCGAGGACGAAUGAAUGUUUAAGUGUAGGAGGAUGUGACGACCCGGUCAGUCGUCUUUGGAAUUUAUGCCCCGUUCCCCCAUUAACUGCUUCCCACUAAGUUCAUUUCUGCUAUUUUGGUUUGUCAGAACGUUCGGUGUGAGAAUUCGGAGUGUUUUGGGACACUUAGUCCCUAAACGAGAGCUUAAGUGUUGGAAAGUGGUCCGUAACCGGAACAGUGUGAAGACGACCUCGGAAUGGAAAUUCGAUGGUUCCGUUAGCUCUGUUAGGUGAUUUCGGGGUCGGGAGCGUGUUCGGGAUGUAUUUUGGAUGUCCGUAGCUCAUUUAGGCUAGAAAUGUCAAAAGUUAGAAUUUGGAGGUUUCUGGUCCGAUAGUGAAGUUAUGAUCCGAUGGUCGGAACGGGAUUCCGGAAGUUGUUGUAGCACCGUCAUGUCAUUUGGGACGUGCGUGCAAAGUUUCAGGUCAAUCGGACGAGUGUUGAUGAGGUUUUGGAUCGAAAGCGUGUUUUGGAUGAACUUGAAUGUUCUUAGGCUUGAAUCUUUGAUUUAAUCGAGGUUUCGGUGUUUUUUUAGGUGUCUUAAGAAUUGGUACAAGUUUGGAUGAUGUUAUUAGUUAUGUCCGUGGGUUUGGUUGAGGUCUCGGGGGCCUCGGGAUGAUUUCGGGUGGUUAACGGAGGAAAAUUUGAUGUAUUGCAGCAGUUGAUAUUUCUCUCUGGUAUUUUCACUUUUGCGGCUUGGAACCCGCAGAAACUGCUUUCUCAUCGCAUAAGCGUUUCCAGGCUUUUUCCCAGGAACCGCAGAAGCGGUCCCUUUUUUCGCAUAAGCGGCACCGCAGAAGCGGGAUUGGCACCGCAAAAGCGGACUCAGGUCCCUUAAGUGAAAACCGCAGGAGCAGCCCUUGUUUCACAGAAGCGAGACCGCAGAAGCGGUCCCUUAUCCGCAAAAGCGGAAAUGACUGUUCAGAAAUAGUAAAAUCGAGGGUUAAGUUUCAAAAGUUGGAAAAUCAAUUGAGAGCUUGGGAGAUGGCGAUUUUGAGUGGGUUUUGAAGAGAAGAUCAUUGGGUAACGUUGCUUUGACCCCUUCUAGUUAUAUAUCAUCAUUAUUUAGUUAAUUAUACCAUUAAAAUUCGAAUUGAGGACCAAAAAUUGGAUAAUUUGGGUAAACCUUUUUUGGCUAAACUAUUGAGUUUUGAAGGGGCAUUUGACCUCUGAUUUGGGAGAUUUUUAUAUGGUUAGACUCAUGAGAGUACGAGAUUUUUGAAAAUGUGAAAAUUAUUCGAUUCCGAGACGUUGUCCUGAGGGGCGUUUUGGUCAUUUUACCUAUUUUCGCGUCUUAGCUUUAAUUUUAAUAGUGGAAUUGGUUACUUGCGAUGUUAUUUACAAUAUGUAAUUAGUUUGAAUAAUUACAUAUCUUGACUGCUGUUUAAAUGCCUUGUGCGCGAGGUGACGAGCGUGUACUUGUACUAAUUGUUUAAAAUUCACCUUACUUGACUUAUUUAGGCUGUGUUUCUUCAUGUAUUUAACUGUUAAAAAUGCAAUUUCACUUGUUUUAGCUUAGGGAAAGCAUGUUAGUAACUUAUUUGCUCUAUUUGACUAAAUUGCAAUAUCUGCCUUUUCGUGAAGCAUGCUAGACUCUAGAUUCUACCUGUUGUCUGUUCUUAGCUUCUUUUGUUCAAUAUUGAAUUGAUGUGAUGUGUUUACGAUUGGGUCUACCGGACGGCAUCCCGGCAGCUCCCCUGUACGUAUUAUGUUCUGAGAUUGGAAGUGCGGGAUACUAAGAGAUCUCCGGCACAGGAUUGAUUAAAUGUAGGAUAUUAGGAGAUUCUCGGGAUACUUGGAGAUCCCUUGUGUAUAUGAUGAGGUUACCAGGAGAUCCUCGGGAUACCAGGAGAACCCCGAUGAUAAAUAGCCUGUAGUGAUUGUUCUUGUAUUAGUAGAUUGUAUUUGUAGCCUGUUUCCGUUCUACUUAUUAUUUUUGAUAGAUACUCGAGAUUUACUGUACUCCUACUGUCUAUUCAUUUCAUAUUUAUUUUUAUGUUUAUCUCAGUAGGGCCUCGACCUUCAUCUCACUACCCAAUCGAGGUUAGGCUUGACACUUACUGAGUACCGCUGUGGUGUACUCACGCCUCUUCUGCGCAUGUUUUUCAUGUGCAGAUCCAGGUACUUCUGAGCAGGCGUGCCGCCAGUAGCUUUCAGGGAGCAUAUUGGAGACUUGAGGUAUACAUCUGCUACGUCCGCAGAUCCGCAAAGUCUCCUUCUCAUUCUAUCCAUAGAUAUUAGCUGUCAUUUUGAUCCCUUUUGUAUUAGACUACUCUGGUGACUAGAGCAGUGUAUGAUUUCUUAUGGCCUGUGUUGCCCGUGGGUUUCCGGGUCUUGGUGGUUAUUCAGUAUUCUGUA